rnacentral:rRNA from 1 species
AGCAGCCGCGGUAAUUCCAGCUCCAAUAGCGUAUAUUAAAGUUGUUGCAGUUAAAAAGCUCGUAGUUGAAUUUCGGGGUUAGUAGGUUGGUCAUGCCUCUGGUAUGUACUGGUCUCACUGAUUCCUCCUUCCUGAUGAGCCGUAAUGCCAUUAAUUUGGUGUUGCGGGGAAUUUGGACUGUUACUUUGAAAAAAUUAGAGUGUUUAAAGCAAGCUAACGCUUGAAUACAUUAGCAUGGAAUAAUGAAAUAGGACGUUCGAUCCUAUUUUGUUGGUUUCUAGGAUUGACGUAAUGAUUAAUAGGGAUAGUUGGGGGCAUUAGUAUUCAAUUGUCAGAGGUGAAAUUCUUGGAUUUAUUGAAGACUAACUACUGCGAAAGCAUUUGCCAAGGAUGUUUUCAUUAAUCAAGAACGAAAGUUAGGGGAUCGAAGACGAUCAGAUACCGUCGUAGUCUUAACCAUAAACUAUGACCGACUAGGGAUCGGAUGAUGUUUAAUUUUUAAUGUACUCAUUCGGCGUCC